rnacentral:lncRNA from 1 species
GUGCACAGUGUUGUGCGUUCAGAGCCAAGCCUGUAGUUAAGUCACACAAUUUGACACCAGCAAGUGCUAACAGAAAACUCCUCAGCUCUGUUGCAUAUUUGAUUUUGAAUUAAUUUUUGUUGCUAUAUGUUUGGAAACCUUUUACUGUUGCCACAAGUCUAUAUUCAGUUGCAGAGAAUGAUCCACAGUUUGGAACACUGAGCCCCAGACCACCCAACGAAGGCACUGAGAGGAGCCAGAGGCCUGGGACCCACACAUCUAGGGCUGCUUAUGUUCUCACAGUUUAAGGGUGGAGCUUUGCAGAUUGCUCCAUGGCAGGCCCUUGUUUUGUGCUGAUGAUCGCCUCUGCUGGUCUGGCUCCCUGACUGCUCAGUUGUGUUAAAAAUCACUGUGAGGAGUCUUUCCACAUCUCCCAAGUGUGAAAGAAACCUACACUCACAGAUGCAAUUCGUUGGCUGGGCUUUGUUGAGGAUGGAUGUUCCAAAGGUCAUCCAUAUUUUAUCGCCAGAUAGUAGAAGAAAUUGGGGUGCAGACCCCCAGCAAGCAGUCUUGCAGACCACAUGAGUACAGAACUCAACUUGAAACCAUGACUCCUUUACACCAUGGCCUGUAAGCUCUUGGCAAAACAGCCCAAGUUGUCAGGCGUGUGCUGCUUUUCAGCAAAAGCAAACUCAGUUCAAAUUUGCUGUCCUACUUGGCCUGGAUUGGAUGAUGAAUGACAAGGGAAUUCUCCCUAACAGAUACCUUUCCCAGAUCCUUAGUGGCCUAGGCACAGUCUGCUGCUUUCUCUGCAUGUGUUCUACUCUGUAGAUGCCCUGGAUUUCCAGAGCCAGGAGAGCCAGGGUUGCGGCACAGAGGCACCUGUGGCCAUGACCAGAAACUGGGAACCAGGAUGUCAGAGAAGACGCUGAAGAAUUCUGCCCUAUGACAGGGUACAGGGACAGCUUGUAUGCCACUUGAAUGAUCUAAGCUCAGAUGUCUGGGAACAGGGAAGGUUGUAAAUGCUGUGAUGGAAAAUGUGUUCACCA